rnacentral:rRNA from 1 species
AGAACGAACGCUGGCGGCAUGCCUAAUACAUGCAAGUCGAACGAACUCUUCGGAGUUAGUGGCGCACGGGUGCGUAACGCGUGGGAAUCUGCCCCUUGGUUCGGAAUAACAGUUGGAAACGACUGCUAAUACCGGAUGAUGACGAAAGUCCAAAGAUUUAUCGCCAAGGGAUGAGCCCGCGUAGGAUUAGCUAGUUGGUGAGGUAAAGGCUCACCAAGGCAACGAUCCUUAGCUGGUCUGAGAGGAUGAUCAGCCACACUGGGACUGAGACACGGCCCAGACUCCUACGGGAGCAGCAGUAGGGAAUAGUUGGACAAUGGGACGAAGCUGAUCAGCAAUGCGCGUGAGUGAUGAAGGCGUUAGGUUAGGUAAAGUCUCUUUACCGUAGAGU